UACGUAGGUGGCAAGCGUUGUCCGGAUUUACUGGGCGUAAAGAGCGCGCAGGCGGUCGUUCAAGUCGAGUGUGAAAGCCCCCGGCUCAACUGGGGAGGGUCAUUCGAUACUGAUCGACUCGAAGGCAGGAGAGGGAAGUGGAAUUCCCGGUGUAGUGGUGAAAUGCGUAGAUAUCGGGAGGAACACCAGUGGCGAAGGCGACUUCCUGGCCUGUUCUUGACGCUGAGGCGCGAAAGCGAGGGGAGCAAACGGG
rnacentral:rRNA from 1 species